ensembl:rRNA 5S_rRNA 5S ribosomal RNA
AAGAAAUGCCAUACCACUCUGAACACAUCUUGUCUUGUUAGAUCUCUGAAGCUAAGCACGGUUGGGCCUGGUUAGUACUUUGAUGGGAAACCACCUGGGAAUAUGUUACGUCCCUCU